UCUAAAGUUAACCUGUUAAAUGCCUCAUCUUCUGGAAACGACAGGCAUUCACUAUCUCUGACGGAGAAGUACAUAGACAGUGUCCAGCUAUCCUUCGAACCUUCGUCAAAAGAGAAGUGGUCAGGAACCACCGAAGACACGACGGAGAAGCCGCAGAUCCCCCAGAACAGCCCAGUGAGCAACGCAGAGAACGCCUGAG